CCUACGGGGGGCAGCAGUGAGGAAUAUUGGUCAAUGGGCGAGAGCCUGAACCAGCCAAGUCGCGUGAGGGAAGACGGUCCUAUGGAUUGUAAACCUCUUUUGUCGGGGAGCAAUAAGACCACGUGUGGUCGAAAGUGAGAGUACCCGAAGAAAAAGCAUCGGCUAACUCCGUGCCAGCAGCCGCGGUAAUACGGAGGAUGCGAGCGUUAUCCGGAUUUAUUGGGUUUAAAGGGUGCGUAGGCGGAAUGGAAAGUCAGCGGUAAAAUUUCCGGGCUCAACCCGGUCGUGCCGUUGAAACUGUCGUUCUUGAGUGAGCGAGAAGUAUGCGGAAUGCGUGGUGUAGCGGUGAAAUGCAUAGAUAUCACGCAGAACUCCGAUUGCGAAGGCAGCAUACCGGCGCUCAACUGACGCUGAAGCACGAAGGCGUGGGGAUCAAACA
rnacentral:rRNA from 1 species